GGAGGGAUGGCCGAGUGGACGAUGGCGGCGGUCUUGAAAACCGCUGUGGGGCGACCCACCGGGGGUUCGAAUCCCUCUCCCUCCGCCU
rnacentral:tRNA from 1 species